GCCUAGAUGGCGGAAUUGGCAGACGCGGCGGACUCAAAAUCCGCUUCCCGCGAGGGAGUGGGGGUUCGACUCCCCCUCUGGGCACCA
rnacentral:tRNA from 1 species